rnacentral:rRNA from 1 species
GACGAACGCUGGCGGCGUGCCUAAUACAUGCAAGUCGAGCGGGCCUCCGGAGGUGCUUGCACCUCCGGAAGGCCAGCGGCGGACGGGUGAGUAACACGUGGGCAACCUGCCUUUGAGGCCGGGAUAACACCGGGAAACCGGUGCUAAUACCGGAUGCGUCCCCUUCCGCGCCUGCGAGAGGGGAGAAAGACGGUCUUUAAGGCCGUCGCUCAAAGAGGGGCCCGCGGCGCAGUAGCUGGUUGGUGGGGUAAGGGCCUACCAAGGCGACGAUGCGUUGCCGGCCUGAGGGGGUGAUCGGCCACACUGGGACUGAGACACGGCCCAGACUCCUGCGGGAGGCAGCAGUAGGGAAUCAUCCGCAAUGGGCGAAAGCCUGACGGUGCAACGCCGCGUGAGUGAGGAAGGUUUUCGGAUCGUAAAGCUCUGUUGUGAGGGAAGAACAGCUUCCGGAGGAAAUGCCGGGGGUUUGCCGGUACCUCACCAGAAAGCCCCGGCUAACUACGUGCCAGCCGCCGCGGUAA